UUAAGCGACUAAGCGUACACGGUGGAUGCCCUGGCAGUCAGAGGCGAUGAAGGACGUGCUAAUCUGCGAUAAGCGUCGGUAAGGUGAUAUGAACCGUUAUAACCGGCGAUUUCCGAAUGGGGAAACCCAGUGUGUUUCGACACACUAUCAUUAACUGAAUCCAUAGGUUAAUGAGGCGAACCGGGGGAACUGAAACAUCUAAGUACCCCGAGGAAAAGAAAUCAACCGAGAUUCCCCCAGUAGCGGCGAGCGAACGGGGAGGAGCCCAGAGCCUGAAUCAGUGUGUGUGUUAGUGGAAGCGUCUGGAAAGGCGCGCGAUACAGGGUGACAGCCCCGUACACAAAAAUGCACAUGCUGUGAGCUCGAUGAGUAGGGCGGGACACGUGGUAUCCUGUCUGAAUAUGGGGGGACCAUCCUCCAAGGCUAAAUACUCCUGACUGACCGAUAGUGAACCAGUACCGUGAGGGAAAGGCGAAAAGAACCCCGGCGAGGGGAGUGAAAAAGAACCUGAAACCGUGUACGUACAAGCAGUGGGAGCACGCUUAGGCGUGUGACUGCGUACCUUUUGUAUAAUGGGUCAGCGACUUAUAUUCUGUAGCAAGGUUAACCGAAUAGGGGAGCCGAAGGGAAACCGAGUCUUAACUGGGCGUUAAGUUGCAGGGUAUAGACCCGAAACCCGGUGAUCUAGCCAUGGGCAGGUUGAAGGUUGGGUAACACUAACUGGAGGACCGAACCGACUAAUGUUGAAAAAUUAGCGGAUGACUUGUGGCUGGGGGUGAAAGGCCAAUCAAACCGGGAGAUAGCUGGUUCUCCCCGAAAGCUAUUUAGGUAGCGCCUCGUGAAUUCAUCUCCGGGGGUAGAGCACUGUUUCGGCAAGGGGGUCAUCCCGACUUACCAACCCGAUGCAAACUGCGAAUACCGGAGAAUGUUAUCACGGGAGACACACGGCGGGUGCUAACGUCCGUCGUGAAGAGGGAAACAACCCAGACCGCCAGCUAAGGUCCCAAAGUCAUGGUUAAGUGGGAAACGAUGUGGGAAGGCCCAGACAGCCAGGAUGUUGGCUUAGAAGCAGCCAUCAUUUAAAGAAAGCGUAAUAGCUCACUGGUCGAGUCGGCCUGCGCGGAAGAUGUAACGGGGCUAAACCAUGCACCGAAGCUGCGGCAGCGACGCUUAUGCGUUGUUGGGUAGGGGAGCGUUCUGUAAGCCUGCGAAGGUGUGCUGUGAGGCAUGCUGGAGGUAUCAGAAGUGCGAAUGCUGACAUAAGUAACGAUAAAGCGGGUGAAAAGCCCGCUCGCCGGAAGACCAAGGGUUCCUGUCCAACGUUAAUCGGGGCAGGGUGAGUCGACCCCUAAGGCGAGGCCGAAAGGCGUAGUCGAUGGGAAACAGGUUAAUAUUCCUGUACUUGGUGUUACUGCGAAGGGGGGACGGAGAAGGCUAUGUUGGCCGGGCGACGGUUGUCCCGGUUUAAGCGUGUAGGCUGGUUUUCCAGGCAAAUCCGGAAAAUCAAGGCUGAGGCGUGAUGACGAGGCACUACGGUGCUGAAGCAACAAAUGCCCUGCUUCCAGGAAAAGCCUCUAAGCAUCAGGUAACAUCAAAUCGUACCCCAAACCGACACAGGUGGUCAGGUAGAGAAUACCAAGGCGCUUGAGAGAACUCGGGUGAAGGAACUAGGCAAAAUGGUGCCGUAACUUCGGGAGAAGGCACGCUGAUAUGUAGGUGAAGUCCCUCGCGGAUGGAGCUGAAAUCAGUCGAAGAUACCAGCUGGCUGCAACUGUUUAUUAAAAACACAGCACUGUGCAAACACGAAAGUGGACGUAUACGGUGUGACGCCUGCCCGGUGCCGGAAGGUUAAUUGAUGGGGUCAGCGCAAGCGAAGCUCUUGAUCGAAGCCCCGGUAAACGGCGGCCGUAACUAUAACGGUCCUAAGGUAGCGAAAUUCCUUGUCGGGUAAGUUCCGACCUGCACGAAUGGCGUAAUGAUGGCCAGGCUGUCUCCACCCGAGACUCAGUGAAAUUGAACUCGCUGUGAAGAUGCAGUGUACCCGCGGCAAGACGGAAAGACCCCGUGAACCUUUACUAUAGCUUGACACUGAACAUUGAGCCUUGAUGUGUAGGAUAGGUGGGAGGCUUUGAAGUGUGGACGCCAGUCUGCAUGGAGCCGACCUUGAAAUACCACCCUUUAAUGUUUGAUGUUCUAACGUUGACCCGUGAUCCGGGUUGCGGACAGUGUCUGGUGGGUAGUUUGACUGGGGCGGUCUCCUCCUAAAGAGUAACGGAGGAGCACGAAGGUUGGCUAAUCCUGGUCGGACAUCAGGAGGUUAGUGCAAUGGCAUAAGCCAGCUUGACUGCGAGCGUGACGGCGCGAGCAGGUGCGAAAGCAGGUCAUAGUGAUCCGGUGGUUCUGAAUGGAAGGGCCAUCGCUCAACGGAUAAAAGGUACUCCGGGGAUAACAGGCUGAUACCGCCCAAGAGUUCAUAUCGACGGCGGUGUUUGGCACCUCGAUGUCGGCUCAUCACAUCCUGGGGCUGAAGUAGGUCCCAAGGGUAUGGCUGUUCGCCAUUUAAAGUGGUACGCGAGCUGGGUUUAGAACGUCGUGAGACAGUUCGGUCCCUAUCUGCCGUGGGCGCUGGAGAAUUGAGGGGGGCUGCUCCUAGUACGAGAGGACCGGAGUGGACGCAUCACUGGUGUUCGGGUUGUCAUGCCAAUGGCACUGCCCGGUAGCUAAAUGCGGAAGAGAUAAGUGCUGAAAGCAUCUAAGCACGAAACUUGCCCCGAGAUGAGUUCUCCCUGACUCCUUGAGAGUCCUGAAGGAACGUUGAAGACGACGACGUUGAUAGGCCGGAUGUGUAAGCGCAGCGAUGCGUUGAGCUAACCGGUACUAAUGAACCGUGAGGCUUAACCU
rnacentral:rRNA from 1 species